rnacentral:tRNA from 1 species
GGUUCCAUAGUGUAGCAGUUAGCACAUCUGCUUUACACGCAGAAGGUCCUGAGUUCACUCCCCAAUGGAGCCA